GACGAACGCUGGCGGCGUGCCUAAUACAUGCAAGUAGAACGCUGAAGAGAGGAGCUUGCUCCUCUUGGAUGAGUUGCGAACGGGUGAGUAACGCGUAGGUAACCUGCCUUGUAGCGGGGGAUAACUAUUGGAAACGAUAGCUAAUACCGCAUAACAAUGGAUGACACAUGUCAUUUAUUUGAAAGGGGCAAUUGCUCCACUACAAGAUGGACCUGCGUUGUAUUAGCUAGUAGGUGAGGUAAUGGCUCACCUAGGCGACGAUACAUAGCCGACCUGAGAGGGUGAUCGGCCACACUGGGACUGAGACACGGCCCAGACUCCUACGGGAGGCAGCAGUAGGGAAUCUUCGGCAAUGGGGGCAACCCUGACCGAGCAACGCCGCGUGAGUGAAGAAGGUUUUCGGAUCGUAAAGCUCUGUUGUAAGUCAAGAACGGGUGUGAGAGUGGAAAGUUCACACUGUGACGGUAGCUUACCAGAAAGGGACGGCUAACUACGUG
rnacentral:rRNA from 1 species